UGCUUGCAAAUAUCACAGACAGCAGA
rnacentral:sRNA from 1 species